UACGAUCACAACACGUUGAAACACCGGUUUCCGUAAGAUCUCCGAAGUUAAGCAACGUCGAGCUUGAUUAGUACGUGGAUGUGUGGCUGAUUGAGAUAACCAGGUGCCGUUAG